UAGUAUAAGCCCAUGCCCUAUUGUUUCCCCCCUUAAAUUAGUGGCAUUAGCACUUCACCCCUAAUCUUUGUCUGUAUUGAUGAGCUGGACAACAGAAUACACAGUAACAACUAAAAACACAAAUACUAUUCAAGCUCUAGCCGCUUUAGAUAAUUAUUAUUUAAUAAUAAACAAACCAAAUGGGUCAACUCUAUCUAGACCAAAAAUUUCAGUAUCUGCCAAUUUACAACACGUAGUUGCAUCAUCCCUAUGUUUGUUUUCAUUCCAUAAAGUCUCAAGAGUGCUUUGAAGGUGCAACACAUCUUUGCAUCAUCCAGAUAGAACUGCGUCUUCUAGACAUACUUUUUGUUUUCUUUUCAUAUGGUCUGCUCAUCCACGACUACAAGAAGAGAAGCCGUAAACACAUUUGGAUCUGCACCGUCUCCUCUCAUCUAGCUUCAUUUCCUCUCUGGGUGCUUAUACCUCGAGACAUGGCGGUCCUCAAGGCCAAGAUGCCAGCCUUGUGCUUGCUCUUGCUCAUGGCACUCCUGUUGUUUCCUGGAUCUGAAGGCAAGACUUGCUCGGAGGUCAGCAGGACCUACACUCCUCUCUUAUGUGGGGAUGACACAUGUGCUACUCACUGCCACAAGGAGGGCUUCCCAGGAUCGAAGUGUGUGAUCACCUCCUUCGACCCUCCCUUUUCAAUCUGCCUCUGCAAGAAACCUUGCUGAUGAUGCUUGUGGAGCAGUAAUAUAUCGUUCGUGUGUUUAAUGAACUAUAUGUGUGGACUUCUAUGCUGUAUUUGCUGUGAUGAGCAGAUCAACAUAGAAUUCACGCAUGGCAACAUAAUAAAGGUGGAAUUGCGAUAGAGUUCACCGGCCUUUUGUGUUCUAUCCUGAUGAGCAGCUAGAAAUGAAGAGAUAGAUAUAGCGUGUUGUGACGCGAUUAUAUCUUCUGGAGUGUCUGCAUGUGAAUCUAUCUCUAGUGUUUGACAUUGUUAAGUUAUUCGGAUAACGUGUGCUAGAUGUAUUUUGUAUC